AUUGAACGCUGGCGGCAGGCCUAACACAUGCAAGUCGAACGAGCGGCGGACGGGUGAGUAAUGUCUGGGAAACUGCCUGCUGGAGGGGGAUAACUACUGGAAACGGUAGCUAAUACCGCAUACCAUCAGAUGUGCCCAGAUGGGAUUAGCUAGUAGGUGGGGUAACGGCGCAACUAGGCGACGAUCCCUAGCUGGUCUGAGAGGAGGACCAGCAACACGGGAACUGAGACACGGUCCAGAGUCCGACGGGAGGCAGCAGUGGGGAAUAUUGCACAAUGGGAGCAAGCCUGAGGAAGCCAUGCCGCGUGUAUGAAGAAGGCCUUCGGGUUGUAAAGUACUUUCAGCGAGGAGGCGUUACCCGCAGAAGAAGCACCGGCUAACUCCGUGACAGCAGCCGCGGUAAUAC
rnacentral:rRNA from 1 species